rnacentral:lncRNA from 1 species
ACGCUCCGCGCGCGCCGGCGCGCGUCCGCGGUUGGCGCGCCCCGCGCUGGUGCUGCUAAGCUCGGGGUGCGGGAAAACAGCGACAAAAUGCUCUUUUUUUUCCCCCCUCUCGCUUUUUUUUUUUUUUUUUCCUUCCCCCUUCCUUUUAACCCCGUGCAAAUCGAACAGCGCUACUUACCCGCUGCAAAGCCGGAGCAAAGAUCAAAAAAAAGUGGGUUUUACACUUUCGAAACCUGUUGCGACUUUAAGCGGCGGUGCAAAAUUGUCCCCCGUCCCCCCCCCCCCCCACCCCCGACCGGCAGCGGCUCAGGGCGGGAUUUGGGCGGCAGCCCGGCCCGGCUCGGCAGCGCACGGAGUUUUUAAUGUGUUAAUGGCUCGGGGUGGCUUCAAAGAGCGUUGCUGUUUUGAAGUCCAGGUGUUUCUAUUUGCGCAGAAAAUCGAGCGGGGAGCUCUGAGCUCCUCCUGUUACCGAAGUUAAAAGGAAACAAAGUCGAGCUGCUAAGUCGGCAGUCUGGAAUGAGUCAAUAGUGUCUCCUUUGUCCUGCUAGCUUGUAGCUCCGCUCCGUUUCCUCCGCGCCAGCGAGAGAGCGUUUCGCCCCUCGGCUCAAUUCUCGAUUACGGAUGAAAUCCAUAUGCUGAUGGCUACCCUGUAAUGAAGGCUCAUGUGAGUAGUCUGUUGAUCUAUACCUACACUUGCUUAUGAGGUGACUUUGCCUAGUCCAGUUGAAUGAUGAUAAACUAGCAGUUAAGGUUUAUGUAUUUCUAUUUUUAUAAUAUAUUUUAAUAUAUUUAUAGUUUUCCGUUCGGUCUCCCUUUCCAUUUAAGUUCUGACAAACUGAUGUAGAGAUAAUAGAUAAACCUCUUCUUGAUUUAGACAAUCACUUAUAUUUCAUAUUGCUCUUUGAGUACGGUACAUAAAGUACUGGCUAUAAGUGUUCCAUCUAGAAUGAAGAGCCUCAAACGUGGUGUGGACAAGAACUUGACCAAAAAAACGACUUGAUAAAUGAGGCCAGUUUUCACUUCCAUCGUUAUUACAACAAGGUUUUGCACAGAAUUUUUGCCACUGUUCAGUGUUACAGCCUUUCUGCAUGCCUGUCCCCUGCCCCGAAUGCCAGUGAGUGGAAUUGACAACAGCAAAUACACAUACAGCUGGCUUUUUUUAUUAUUUGUGUUUCCAGCAGUGUUUUUAGACUGCUAGAUUAGGAAGACAGAACAUUGGGGUAGACAUUAUUUUCUAGCAGGAUAAUACACUUUGUGGUUUAGGUUGCCUCAGAAAGAUAAUUUCAAGCCUUCUUUAGAAGCAGCCACGCUAAGGCAAAAAUGCACAUGGAGUAAAGUACGGCUCAGCACAGCAGUUAGUCAGAAAGCUGAAGUCUCAGUCUGCCUUCCAUGCAAGCACAAAGCAUAACAAGUCUGAGCACUAAACAUUAUUCCUCCCUUUCCACCCUGUUACUUCUCCUGCGCUCAUUACACCGUCUUGCAUCUUUCCCCUCCUUCUGUAAAGGAAGGGAAAUUUCCUCCUCUCCGUCUGAUUUCUUUCCUUUCACAUUUGCUUUUCCCUAUUCACCUGCACAUUCCCUGUAAUAGCAAAACUUGAAGGACUACGGAUCCAAUCCUGGGGGGAAACACUAAGCUUGUGCAUGCAGUCUUUUAGCACGGACAAAGAGUGAUUACUUAAAGUGUUUACAUUUCCCCCUUUUUCUGAAUAAAGUUACAAAAUCACCAGAAUAAAGUUUAGUACUGAAAAUCUGUGUAGGGAACUGUAAUCUGAUAAGGUAGAAUGAGAUCACCGUUCUGUGCAGAGCUCUGCUUGUACAGAAAAACAAAAUGAUUUUUACUGAUCUGGAACCACACGAUUAUUUCUGAAUCAUUAUUUUUAUGCUUAGCUGUUAUGUGAAGUGAAUCCACCUCUCUCCUUUGGUAGUCAUUUUAAAUGAUGCACUGAAUACUUCAGCAAAUGCAAUGACUCGUAUCUUUAAAUACUUUACGAGCAUACAGCAGGAUACUUAGAAAGACAUCUUAAAAAGCUAAGAAGUUAAGACCAGUAUAUCGUACACAAAUUAAGUUCUUUUUCCCCUGUAACAGCUCCCAAGCAACAUUUAUUACCUGUGUCCAUGACAUACAUUUUUAGAUGCCAGCUCUUCUAAGCAGGCAAUCUAUUUCACGAGCUUUCUAAAGCAGUGUCGUAGCCAUUACAUCAAAUGUUGUUUCACAGAUGGUUAUCAACACUUGGUGUUUCACAGAUGGGAUAGAAGAAAAAGACCCAACACCUGAAUUAAAAAACCCCACCAACACAGUAACGUCCAUUUAAAGAUACCCCCUUAGAAAGUGGCUCUCAAUCUGCAGACUCUUGAGGUUUUAUGAACAAUUUUUAAGUGGGCUGCAAAAUAGUAAUUGAAAAAACGAGGCACACUAUCAGAAGGCUGACAGUAUCAGCAGUAGCUGCACUCACCCACUGGAUUUCUUUCUUUUUAAGAAGGUCCUGGAUCACAAAGAAUUGUGAAUUAGAAGAGAUUAGGCUCUAGAAAUCCCGAACUGUUGUGCUUCUUGGUAAGACAAACAUUAUCAAAAAACUGUAUUUCACCACAUAGAAAAAAAAACCUGUCACAUUCUAACGAAUAGGGGGGAAAAAGAAUGAAAGAACUCCUCUUUGACGAGCAGAUUUCUAAUGAUGGGAUACAUCCCACUUGGAGAAGAUGCAAACGAAGAGGCGAAGCAGAGGCAUUAUUUUGCUCCCAGCGCCCACUUCUCACCUGGCUGUACCUACAUUGCAGAAUCCCAUAGAAAGAACAGUAAGAAGAGAGGCUUCCAAUGGGAGGGGUUUGAGGGGCCUUCUGUACUUGUGUGUGUAUCCUUGUUUCUGGAGUAAGCAGGAAAGUAAGGUUUCCAGUUCACAAUCAGACAAGAAGCUGGGAUUCCAGAAGACACAGGAGAGAACAGACAGGGAAAGUGUGCAGUGAGGAUGUGGCAGAGCUAUAGCCACGUUUGGGGUACUGACUUCCAGCUGACCCCAAUGCAUUUAUCCAGCUGUGACCUCUCCAGCUCCUACAGGAAUCCUGUUCUGACCUCUGCCCCUAAAUCUUUACUCCCAUACACUGAUCUUCAGUUCUACCCAUAUACUCCAUCACUGCUUCUAUACCCACAUGCCUUGCUUAUAAGCAUAUUAAUCCCUCUCUCCUAUCACCCCCAGAUGACACUGGUAAAUAGGUUUUUUUCCACACUACAGUGCUAGAAAAGCACUCUCCUCCCUUGUAUAUUUCUUUCUGAUACAAGGCAAAGAUUUCCUCCUGACCUCAUACCCAGCUUAGCCCUGUGCAUGUGAACAAGACAAACCAACCAUACGCACUGUACAUAUUAGAACACUGAAAAGUGACUGCAGAAUCCUAUCAGUUAGCAAGGGGCAUUUAGUAAUAAUAAUAUAAUAACAAUAAUAUAAAAGCAUUCACAAAACUCAUUUCCUAUAUGUAUCAAAAAAACAGGAAUAAGAGAGGUGCGACAAAAAAAGGGUUACACAGAGCAUGCUGGCCUACUUUAAUUCCCUUAGAACACCGUUACUGUAACUGCUGUUGCCAGUAGUAUUUUGCUUACCUUUCAUAUAAUACGUAUGCUACAAUCUAACUUUAGGUAAGACAAUAGACUUCUUCAGGAUAAACACAUUUAUACCAUUUGAAUGAGGUUUAUAGUUUGGCAUUUCUCCACUUCAGCACCACCGUGACUGCUAAAAAGCUGUGCAGUAUGUUGGAAAAGAUAUAAUGUCUGCAAAUUAUUUAUGGAUGUGCUUGUGUGGUAUUUAUGACAACAGAAAGUAACCUACGCUGGGGCAACUGAAAGCAUAGCUAAUACAAAUACAUUACGAUUCUGGAAAAUUGUCAGUAUGGAUGAUAUUAAUAAUAAUAAUAGGAGGCUUGAUAGGAGGAAAAGGAAGGUUUUUACAAUGUAAAAUUACCAUCCGGGGAGCUUAUGUAAACUAAAGAGCGUGGUCAAAUAGGAGUGGAUUUUUUUAGAGUAAUAAACUCAUCCUGUGCUAAGACAGGCUAAUACUCGUAAGAAAAGUCUGCAUCUGCUAAUGUUGCUAGAAAGUCAGAUAAGCAUUCAAAGAUGUACAUAUGUGUUCAUUUGAUUAAGAUGAGAAGUCUAAUCUUUGUGCUAUGGGGACCCAAUCCUCACUUCUCAGGCCACUAAAUCCACUAUUCAUGAGCGCAGAUGGAAAGGAAGAGGAGCAAAGACUAUUAGCGGUGCUCAGGACAAGGCAACAAUUAAAAAAGCAGCCGUUCUGUUACUAGAUCCUGGGAAGGACGUGGUGGGGACAGAAGGGUUGCUGCUACCAGCUUGAUCUUCCUGGCUCCCUCUGGGAAUCUCUUGCUGCUGCUUCAGGCUGGACGUUAGGAAAUACUACUUCUCUGAAAGGGUGGUCAGGCACUGGAAUGGGCUGCCCAGAGAGGUGGUGGAGUCACCGAGCCUGGUGGUGUUCAAAGAGCGUUUGGAUGUUGUGUUGAGGGACAUGGUUUAGCGAGAACCAUUGGUGAAGGGCGGAUGGUUGGACUGGAUGAUCCUCUGGGUCUUUUCCAACCUUGGCAAUUCUAUGAUUCUAUGAUUCUAUGCUUCUCCUGCAGAGGCAUGUGGCCUAUCUAAUGUUGAAAAAGCAGGCAGUGCUCUCUGCCUUUUCAUACACAGCAGAAGAGCAGAGCCCAAAUUUCUGGAGCAAUAGAUUGCUGUCAGCCCUUAACAUUUUUCACAAAACAGCACACUCCCACCUGAUUAAACUUUUAAUUGAAGGUGCUAUUUAAAGCACCAUUAGAUAUGGUUUAGCCCAACGGCUGUUCAACUUACCAUAGUCCUGUAGCCCAUUAGGGCUUAGUGGACCACGGCUUGAAAACCAUUCCUGCCACGUCAGAAAUACGAUGAUGUUCCCUGCUCCCUCCCUCCCUCCUGACCUUCCGGUUGCUGUGUUAAACGUUACUGCUCCUCUAUCUGAUUUCCCCUGAGACUGAUUUUAGGACCUGCUAUUUGCUUCUGGCUUUCUGAAGUAGCAGCAAACUGGCAUUCUCCUUCGCCCAUACAUUUGUAAACAGGAGAAGUAAGGCCAAUAUGACCAUAACAUUACUACUGCCAGACAAAGGAAUAGACAGAAGCAUAGUUUAGAUAUCAAUAAAUAUAUGUAUAUCUUUCAGGUUUAGGAAAAAGGGACCAAUUUACAUUUGAUUCAUAUUUGAAAAUUUAUCAUCAGACAACAAGGCCUACGAGCUUUUAUUUACAGAAAAGCUGUAAUUCUACACAGGUUGGGUUUUGGCCACGGCUGGUCCAGGACAAACAGAUGUGCAGUUUUGUGCCACAGAACUAUGGCAGAUGAAACUGGUAUCUUCUGCUAUCAUAAAGGUCACCUAAGAUACAGAAAACAGUGACCAAGGGCUCCUUGUUAUUCUAUUCUAAGAAAUAAAGAGUUAGAGUCUCCUAUUAAAUGCUUCCACAUAUUCGUGGUUUUAGAGAUCUUUCUCAUGUUAUUACUCCUCAGCCAGCAUUUUUCCAAAAUGAAGAAUCCUGAUUCAGUUACUGUCCCUGCCCAAUAGCUGUGCCAUAUCUUCAUCAUCCGUGUCUGUUUUUUAUAUAAUUCUCAUCAGUGCUCAAAACUGACUGGUAUGCCAGCAUGACUCCUUUGUUUCAAGUACCAUAUUGCAUCAAAUCCAUCCGGAAUGAUUUCAAGAAAUCAGCAAGAGCUGCUAAAAAUCCACACAAGCAUUAGGAAAAGGCUUGAGAACCCAGGCUUUUCACAGCAGCCAGACAGCAGCCAUCAGCUUAACAAUUAAACUUCACCUCUGUGACAGGCAGGAAUGCCAGGAUCAAAGUCUGUAUUUCAAGCUCACCUAAGGCUGUGAAACCCUAAGAAAUAGGGAAGUAGAACUUCCAAGUUGCAGCUCCUGUUAGAACAGCUGCAAGUCCAUGCCUUUCUGAGCAGCAGGCCUGGCUGCAGCCUGCAGAGCUGACAGAUGAUGAGGUAAUGACCCUCUCUGCUGACAGGUCUGGUUUAACAGUGGGUCAGUCAUACCUGGCCUCUGGGACAGCCGUGGCUCCUGCAGCACCACAGCCUGUGCUGUGAGAUCCUUCUGCAACUCUUCAGGGCCAACGUCAGCUCUGACUCCAAAUGCACAGUAGCCUUUUAUUGUCUCUAAGCAUUAUCACUGCACCUUUUCAUACCAUUUAGGAACAGGUGAACCAGAAAAGGUGCCAGUACAAAUUGCUGGGAGGUGGUGUCAUUAAAGCCACCUACUAGUUGCUAUAGUCUUCUUUAUCUUGUAACCGUUUAUUAAUCCACAAGGAAUCUUACGUAUCUCAACACUUCACUGUGUUAACAUUCUUUGGUGAUAGACCUUUUUAAAAGCUUUUUGGGUGACCCAUUCCCAUGUGUCUGUUUACUGCUUCAAACAAUAAGCGAAGCCGUAAGACAAAACUACCCUGUACAGAAAGUCAAGGUGAUGGUUGCCUAUUACAGCCACACGUGUUCCUAUUAAUUAUAUUCUUUAUCACAUUCACUGGCAUUUUGCCUGCCAUGGAAGUCAGACUUAUUAGUACAUUAGUCCACGAUCGUCCCUAGAGACCUUUUUAACAUGGUCACAUUUGCUGCUUUCCAUUCCUCUGUCAUCAACACCAAUUUAAAUGAUAGAUAAUACAACACAGUUCACAGAUAACCAGUUUUAUUUCUGAAUUUCUCUGCAACUACCGAAAGAACAUCGUGCUAUCUGGCAAUCUGCUAAUGCCCAUUUAAUCAAGUUGUUCAAAAAUCUUUUACUGAUAUUUAAAAAUUGAAAUACUUCUUAUAAAGAACAACUUUUAUAUGGGACUGUUCCUAAUGUCCCUGGAAUGAACUCUGCCAAUGUAAGGGUUUGUCCAUAUGUUUCCUUCUGCAGUGGCUUUGCCUUUAAAUAUUCUGUCUCUGGAACUCGGUGUCCUGCUAGCAGAAUUAACUGAAAAGUUUACACUUAUAGAUUUUUCUUUUUGCUUUUAUGAUUUUAGCCUAUUGCUCCUCAAAAUCUUUUUGUCCCUCCUUAGAAUAGGUCUACAUUUAACUUCCCAGAACUGUGCUCUUCUCCUCUUUGCUUGUUUGGAUUUCACUUUUUGAAAAACAUCUAUUUGUUCCUCGUAACUUCCCUUACUGCUCAGUUGUCAUGAAUUCUUAUUCACUUGGGUCAGAAUUAGAAAACAAACACUCUGUGUCUCUCUUAGCCUCUUACAAUUUUUACUUGAACGAUUUCUUCAUUUGUAUGCAGUUCUUUUUUACAGUUAAACAAUACUGGAUUGUUUAUUUAUUUUUAUCUUUUUCUCUCAUGCAAAUACGACAAACUUCAGUUUGAUAUGAUGUACCACUACCAAAUGUCUUUCCUAUAGUUACUUUGUCAACCAAAUCCUGGUUACUAAUCUAAACGAACUCAAGAGCUGUCCUCGUUCUACUGGAUUCUCUGGAUAGUUUGCUCAAAAGUUAGUUCUUGAUGGUAGUUAAAAACACAGCUUAUGCAUGAUGCCCUAAUGUUAAGCUUAUCCAGACCAUAGUUUGAAAACUGAAAACUCUUGUUACUAUCGAGCUUCUCAAUUGUAUAGCCUCUCUGGCCUCCUGCUGUAUUUCACGGUCACUGUGUCCACUCUAUCAGCUCAUUCAGAGCUCUUGCCAGGCUUCUCCUGCUCAGAUAUGGAACCACUUGUAAUUAUAUUUUGUGGUUUAGUCUGAUAAAUUUAACUUAUUUGACUAGUUAGCAUAUAGAGACCAACAGACCAAUCUAUCAUUUCUCUAUCAGCAAGGCACUAACAUUUCAUCAUCUCUGUUAUCAUCUAAAUGCUGAUAUUUUGGUGUCACUUUGAAAGAAGGAAAAGGGACACAUGCAGACCCACUUCCAGAAAGAGAACGACAUACCUGAGGAAUUCCUGUUGCAAUUCACGCUUACCACUCUUCUGAAGAAUCAUUAUCUUCAAGGUACCAGGGAAACAGAGCAGUAUCAGGUAGCAACGUACCUUGAUACCGAAUCAAAACUAGUGCAGGUUCCUUCUCAACAGAGAACCAAGUGGUAUUUGACAAGGACUGACCAACAGAAUGGCCUGUGGUUAUUCAAGAUUUCUGUACCAAGAGAUGCUGUGUCAGGAAGGGAAGGCACUAAGUAGCAGAAUGACACUAUGGAAGUAUAUGAAGUCCUUUAAUCUCUUGUAUACACUGAGGAUUCGUAAUACUCACAUUAACUUCCUCUGAGGAGGGAGAGUCUGCUGUUACUGCUGUGGAGAAGAUAAAGAGGGGUGCUUUCUGGACACAAUGCCAGUAGCUAUUGACUUGGGUUCGACAGCUGAGAAGACUUCUGGGGUGCUAGCAUUUUCUGUGUUGGCUGAAACUCACUUCUUUCCCUUUUGUGAGGCCCCUAUUUUUGUGAGCACCUUAUUUCUGCAUUAAGUAUGAUGCGAGUCAGGGCUCAGCAGAAUCCAGAGGCUACACUGCAGUAUCCAACAAGUGUUCAUUAUUAUUUAUUUGCAUUACCACAAAUCCUAGAAGGCUACACCCUGGACCACUUCUCGUUAUGCUGGGCCAUGAAUAAGCAUACAACAAAAAGUCCACAUGAAUUCUACGUGAAGAGACAACAGAGAUUACUGCAGAGUACAAAGGCAAUGACAAAGUAUUACUGUGACAAGCAUCGGUAUUAGUAUACUUGUACAACAUACUUAUUUUCUAGUUGGAUUGUCAUAAGCUUCACAGUACAUAAAACUUUUAAGAAGAUAUUAAAGGGAGACAGCAAACAGUUCUGUUUAUGAAGGAGUCAGCUACUACACGAGAGGCAGCUGAGGAGAAAGUAUCCAGUGUGAAAAUAUAACAACUGAAUGAUGGAAGCUGGCAUCAUAUGUUGAUCAAAAUCAGAGUCAACCUCUUGAUACUGAAGGAAAGGUAUCAGGUAGAAGUAGUCUUGAUGGGCCUUGAAAACAAAGACAGAUAGCUUAUCUUUAUUGCUUUCAAUUGAAGGAGGAAGUUUAAAAAGCCAAAGGAGUAAAUCUGGAAACUGAUAUUUACAGCAGCACUUGGAACGCAUAAUGACAAGACUACAUUUGUCAAGGCAAAAGAAGAAGAUUUUCUAAUAACGAUAUGAUCCAUGGAAAACCUGGAUGAAAAAUACAAGCAACCAACAGAGAAGAAAGAGCAUCCCUGAAGGAUUGGAAAAAGAUUUCCAAAAACUAAGAUUUAGCCUAGGUUUGAUGACUUAAAGCAAACAACAGCAUGAUGGUGUCAUUCACCGAGGAUGCAGAGAGGUUUUGUGAGGACCCCAACCAAAAAUAUGAAAAAAUUGCUAACAAAAGUUGUAACUGGAAAUAAAGAACUGAGGACAACGCUGAAGAAAAUUUUCAUGCAUUAGAUCUGCUUAGGAGUAGAAAAGAAGAUGGGAGGAGGUAUAUGAAGUGACACAUAAAACACUGUUCUUCCUGUACUAUGAAAUAAGAAAAUUCUUUCACGCCACAUUUAUUACUGGGUUAUUACAGCUACCUGAGCUACCAUGUUUUGACUUUCAAGGACUGAAGAAGAAGAAUGUUCAUGACACUGUAAUUUGAUGGGUGCCUCAUUCAGCAAACAAAAACAUGCUACAUCCAGCUCAAAGACAGGACAUUGGUGAUACAAGCCAAGCGCAAACAGCAGUGGAGAAAAAGAUCUUACAGCUUAAAGUUAAAACAACUAACAUGCUGAACAUUCAGGCACAUUCCUUUCCUCUUCCUCCUUAUUGUACAGAACCAAGGCUAUCAUUUCAGCUUGCCACUGAAGGAAAAUUACUCUCCUUUGCUCUAGUUUGGUAUUUCCAGCCCUUGAAGUAUUCCCAAACCUACAUAAAGUGUGCCCAUGUAGCAAAUGCCCACACCCUAAAUUCCACAAACAUCAACAAGAUCUCUUCGUGUCUGCUUUCUUGCUGUUUCCUAGUUUUAGUCAUUUACAACAGCACAGAAUGGGUUGAACUAAAGGAACAAGCAGAUCAGGUGCUCAACCACACGGGUUAGCAGCCGUGAGUACUGGAGACAUACAGCAGGAGACAAUUCAGAGUUCCUUUUCUUCCAAACAGUGUUUUGUAGCAGCAUUACCUCAGGCAGAAUAGAGCUGUGCCCCUACAUUCUUUCUCUCAAAGCACAGGGAAGUUGCUCUCUCAGGAAGGAGAUGCAGUCAGAUGUGUAUGAGCUGCCCUCCGUAGAGAUGACUGAAAAACUUGGAGACAUAUGAAACAUCCAGGGGCCUCCUCAUACCCCACUGACUAAUAUAUCACCUUGCUUCUUUAUCUCUUCUGAAACCAGAUCUUUUCUGAGGCACUUUUUUUUUUCAAUCUGGUGUGGAGAGGGAACAUAGGAGGCUGGGUUUGGUUGCUGUGCAAUCACCUGAUCUCUCUCUCCUUUUCUUUCCUUUGCACAACUUAGGGGAAGUAAGAAUAAAUAUGGCAUAUAGAACUAAAAGAUGAAAAUAGUCAACUAUUAGAACUGUGCUUUUUAAACAAACAAACAAAAAAAAUAUCAUUCAAGAUUUUAGAUGCAAAGUGAAAUAUUCAGUGUUCUCAUUAUUCAGGAGAAACAUUCAAUGUUCUCAAACUAUGGUUUCAUCUCAUAUUAAAAAAUAACUCCAUUUCAUUUUUGUGUUCAGAAAUUAUAAAAGAAGCACCGUAACAUCCCGUAACCAAAAUAAUCCCGUUGGGUUUUGAGCUCUCUUUGAGAUGUUCAAAUUUAAAAUAGUUAAGUUAUGAGUUUGAACAAGAAGCUCUUUCUUCUGCUUAGCACUAGCCACAUUUUAGCAUAUGUAGACCAUCGACCUCUGUUCUUAGUUGCAGUUGUCAUCUCAAAUACUCUGUUUAUACAGGUAAUUCACAGUCACUAACUCUCCAAAGCCCACACGACCCCUCCAAAAAAACUGCAGAGAACUGUAGAGAAAGACAUUUCCUGGAAGUUUUAAAUUAAAUAGAUAGGUAAAUCAACCAGAUAUUUGAUGAAAUGAAAGGUACCAGUAGCUACACAUUCAGUUCUCCUUCUGGGCAUAUUUUUGCCAUAUAUUCUUCUGUUUAGUUCCUUGUUUCUUUUUGAGUUUUAUUUUGUUUGUUUGUUCAUUUGUUUGUUAAUUGGACUCUCAAGUCUGCUUUUGAUCUGGUUAUGAUCUCUUCUUUGGUCUUGCUCUUUCUUCAAAUUCAUUUAAUGUUACUUUUGUGCCAAGCAAAAAAAUAAUUCUACAAUCUCUUUUUCUUUACUCCCCAAUCACUGUCUGCAUCUUUGCUCUACAUGAAGGAAUAUCUAAUUGGCCAUGCCUACAAAUCCUCUACAGCUUCACACUUCCUUAAUAAUUACUCACAGAUUCAAUACCAAUUCUAGUUCUUCCAUCUUCCAGAUACAAGAUUGCCUUCAGAACAUUUUUGUACUUGAACACCAGAAAGGAAAUACACCAUCAUAAAAAAAAGGGCAUGGAGUUUAUAAAGCCAUUAGCGUUACACAGGUAAAACACCUACACAUAAUUUUUGCUCUCUUGGAUAUAAAAAUAGGAAUCAUAGCAAUGCCUGUACCCAUAGAUACAAGCAAAAAACUUCCUCUUCAAUACAAGUAUAUUUAUAGUUAUUUUGGGUGAAUCCACUGACAAAGGGUAUGGAUAAUUAUUACCGAUUAAGCACAGGGUACUUAGUUAAAAUAAAAUAUACAGUUCUUGCCUAAGAAGCCUAUAAUUAAUCAGCAUGUGUGAUCAAAUUGCCACUCAUAACGUCAGAUCAGUUUAGUUUAAUUUAACCAAGUUACUUUGACAUGAGCAUAAGUAUAUAUUUAUUAACAUUUCAACGUUCAACUCAGCAAGACAAUUAUGUUAGUAAAUCUGCUUGCAGUAGCUACACAAAUAUUGGAGGCAUAAACGGUUUUUAUAGAUCUAUAAAUUUGGAAAAUUUUAUGGGUGAAGAUAGAGAGCAGCUCAGAAACACACUCUUCUGAAAGCAAAGGAAAUAAACAAAUGAAAACUCCCUACCUAACAGCAGUGCUGAAGGACUCCGGGUUCACGUGGUGAAUUAUCCAAGAAUAAUGAUAUCCUUAAUGGAUAUAUUGUAUGGAUUUUCUAAAAAGAACCGGAGUCACACAUAAAUCACACCUCUUGAUUAACCCUUUUAUCAUUAUUAGUCUGUCAACAUCAGCAAAGACUAACUAUUGAAAAAUUCAAUCAUUUCAGUGUACUUACAGCUGAAUUUUCUCAUCAUGUGACCAACUAUCCACAAAGCCUCAGUGCCAUUAAGAAGUUUUGAGGAAUAUAUUAUUUGGUACUGCCAAAAAAACAUAAUUAAAAGAACGCAUGUAAAUUAUAUUUAUUUUCUAAUUCAAAACUUUUUUUUUAAUGAUUAUUUCACGUCUAAAGUACAUUUGGGGGAAAGGCAGAACUUACAUUAUCCCAAAAGGCAGGUUCCAGCACAACCCAUGAUACACUGACAGAAUUCACAGUAAGAAGGCACAGUAGGGUCACACAAACAGAACCCCGCACUACUGCAGAAUCUCCUUAAUUUCAAUAGGGCCCUACCCACAUAUAAUCAGUUACAGAGUCCGCCUAUGUGGGAGUAACAACAGUGAGCACGGGACCCGUUCCUCCACACACCUGCAAAAAUAUUGGGAUAAAAAAAAAGAAAUUAAAAUUAGUAACAUGCAGCAAAACCCUCUGAUAGCCCAUUUUAUUACAGCGUUUAGCACAUAAUAAAGGAGUUCCAUACAUCUUUAAGUUGCACGUUAUUUAUAGGAAUUCUUAGUUCCUUUUUUUACAGAAUGUUGACUUCAAAUUGCUUACAGGCCUUACAUGUAACAGCAGCACGUUAUGGGAACUUUUACCAAUAUGCAUUUGAAGUAGAAAUUUAGAUGUAUUUUUAAUUAUUACUUUAUAAAAAGCCAUUAUCAUAGUUGCUUCUUAGUGUUUAAGUCUGCUUCAAAUCAGCAUAAAGUUUGGAGAGACAGCAUAGGUCAGUGAAUUUCUGAGGUCUUUAUGAUCACGAUCCCCGAGCACAGGAGGGACAUGGAGCUCUUGGAGCAGGUCCAGAGGAGGGCCACUAAGAUGAUCAGAGGGCUGGAGCACCUCUCCUAUGAGAAAAGGUUGAGGGAACUGGGAUUGUUUAGCUUGGAGAAGGCUCCGGGGAGACCUCACUGUGGCCUUCCAAUACCUGAUGGGAGCAUAUAAACAGGAGGAGGAAUGGCUGUUUACAAGGGUGGAUAGUUCUAGGACAAGGGGGAAUGGUUUUAAACUGAGACAGGGGAGGUUUAGGUUAGAUAUUAGGAGAAAGUUUUUCGCACAGAGGGUGGUGACGCACUGGAACAGGCUGCCCAAGGAGGUUGUGGAUGCCCCAUCCCUGGAGGCAUUCAAGGCCAGGCUGGAUGUGGCUCGGGGCAGCCUGGUCUGGUGGUUGGUGACCCUGCACAUAGCAGGGGGGUUGAAACUAGAUGACCAUUGUGGUCCUUUUCAACCCAGGCCAUUCUGUGAUUCUAUGAAAGCAUCUGGCCACAUACAGCAGCAUCGAAGACUAAAGUAUUUGAAAACACAUGAUAAACAGUAGUCAAUUUUAGACUAAAAGUGAUCUUUUUUAAACAAAAAAUCCUUACAAAAAUCAACUGCAAUCAUUUCCUAAAUUUAAGCUCCUCCAGAAAACUAUUUAGAAUGCAGGAAGUACAAAUGUAAUGUUAAACAAAUAUAUACCACCUCUUUGCCAUUCACACAAAACUUAACAUUUAUGAUUUGACCUCACUGUUCUUAUUAAAAAUACAUCUAUGUUGAUCUUUAAAAGGCAUUUUAUUUUCAGUUACAACGCUUUUCUAUAUCAUAAAACAUUUACAAACACAUUAACCAUGGGUUCCAUGAAAUAAUAUUUAACUGGUGACACUGUGCAAGAGCACUGAUGAUAAAGGAUAUAAGAACUAGAUCCUAGAAACAUGCAGAAGACAUUUCUUUAUUCCUUUAAUUUAGAUACCAUUAAAGAAACAACAAUAUUUAAAACAAACAAGCAAAAGCUACGAACAAAUUAAAGGAUCUGACAAUCUAACAGAAGAAUCAGGAGUUCCAUAAGGAUGGAAUGCAGUCUUUUUUAAUUCUCUACUUUUGGUUUUAUUUUUGAGCAACAAGUUGUUCUCUUACUGGCUGUGAUUUUGUCAAACAACAGACUUGUAAACAAACAGAAAAUGGAGAAGAGCACCACAGUUUUUUGUUCCUUGCCAGGCUUAAAGCUUUCAACUGGGCAGGAGGACAAGCAAAAAUUUGAAAUCCACAUUUCAGACAUUACAACAAAUUUCAAGGCAGUUGUCUUAGAAGUUACUGAAUUUGAAGUGUUUCUUCGCCUUUUAUUCCCUUUAAAACUUUUGGUUUAUAUACAUGACUUAUAAUGACAAAUUCAACUCCUCUUUCUCAAGAUCGGUGCUCCAGCUGUAAGUUCUGUUCAAAAAGUGUCUUAAGAUAUAGAAUUAUUGAAUCAUAGAAUGGUUUGUGUUGGAAGGGACCUUUAAGGUCACCUAGUUCCAACCCCUUGCUCUAGGCAGGGACACCUCCCUCUAGACCAGGUUGCUCAAAGCCCCAUCCAGUCUGGCCUUGAAUGCUUCUCCCAUCUACUGUUACACAGAAAAUUUAAAAAUAUCAGACCUACCAGUCACAUUAGCCUGCAAGUGUGAACCAGCACCUGAGCCUACCUGAGUGAACCAGUACCUCUGGCAAGUAUAAUGUACCCAUUUCUUACUGACUGAGAAUGAGCAGACUAUACUUUUUGGGACAGUCAGUUCUCUAGGAGCCCAAGACCAUAAAGCUAGGGAAAUAUGGCAUUAUCAAAGAUGCAAUGCAACGUGGUAACUUAUGCAGCCAGAUCCUAAUACUGCUUUCUGCCCCUCUGCCUAGCUCCACAUCUUUCUCCAAUAAGGAAGUUAACUGGAAUACAAUGCACUGCUCCGAGAGUGCAGACUGGAGGAGAGGUCAGGGACACAUAGCUGCAGUCCAAAUGACAGUCAGUUUCUGAGAAGAGCGGAAAACACACUGUUACAAAUGUGACAGCCUAUGGAAUAUCUCAGAGCUGACAUUCAAGCCAUCAAAGAAAUGAAAUAGCGAAACUGCCUCAACAAUUCCCUUCUCUGACAAGGAUAGGAAAAACAUGCAUCUAACGUAGGUAUAGACCACCAUAAAGUUGAAGGGUACAUGAUUGGUUUGGGAGACUGGAAGGCUCUUGCAAAAACAAGGGUUUUUUUCAUGACCAGCAAAGUUACAAAGUCUAGUUAUUUACUAAUGUGCUUGCACAUGCCCCAAAAUACUUGUGCAGCAAUCCCAGGCUGACGUUACCCUGGCUGGAUUCCCACUCCCUUCUAAAUAAUUUCCCUAAAUUCCUUCACAAAACACCACCUUCUCACUACUGGGAGCAACUCACAUUGUGACCAUCAGACCAACCAAGGAUGCUAAUCUGCAAGGCAGCAGGUUGAAUGGAAUAGAAAACUUCCAAGUCCAUGCUGAAGCUUUUUCUGUCCUGGAGGCACAAAUUCGAGUCAUUUUUCUAAUCUCAUCUGCCAGGUUUCAUUGAAACUGUAGAAACUUGACCUUGCGACCUCUAUCUCUGUAUCAAAUGCAGCUCAAAUGAAGCAGUGGAUUCAGAAGUUACUAGGAGAAAACUCAUUCCUAUAUAUCUUGUUUUAUUCAGAAAGUGGGCAUGAAAACACAGUUGUAUAAUCACUGUGAAAGUAACUGAAUUUCAUGUCAUUUACUGUUUUCAUUCAGGAGUCACACCACAAACUCAGCUAUAACACAACACAGGUUUUUACAGGGUGAGAGCGUAAAAGAAUCCAGAGAAUAGAGACCAUUUCCAUGAAACUGCCUUUGUUCUGUCCCUGUGCAAAGGACCUUAAAUAGAUGUCAAUUCAUAAAGGUGAAAAUUUAACAGAGAUAAAAUUUUAUACACGUGUUUUGAACUUACCAAGAAUGCAGCGAACUGCCCUUCAGGUAGAUCCAUGCUUCUCUUCCAAUUCUGUGUUGUAUCUCCCAAAGCUUAAGAAAAGUUCAGUGAUACACAGCUUAGUAACAGAAGACUGACGUUAAGUUUAAAGAGUCAAUCUGUUCAGUGGGUUUUUCUGCUUUGUUUUUUAGAGAAUAAGCAUAAUGGCUAUUAAAGAAUCACCUUAAGAUCCUGCUACUGCUACCUGGCUUCAGAUCAUUAUUAUUAGAGAAUAAUUUUUUAAUAACGAGCAAGUCCCAGUUCCCUUUUUGAAAAAUGCCACCCACUGUGCUCUUCAUACCCUUCCUAUUGCUCUAGAGACAAAGAAUAGUCAGCGUGGCAAAGUUAAUAGAGAACUGGACAUUACAGGACAGGUUGGAAGGAAACAAUGUGAACGGGACCAGGAGUGAAAACGACUUAGCAAAAAAGGGAUGGAAUAAAAGAAACAACGUUACUUUCUUAGCAGGGCAAUAAAAACGGGAUUUUCAAAACCAUCCAACUUCUAUUGAAGUGAAAGAAUUACAUCAAUUCCAAAUAUGCUUUUAGAAAACCUUUAAGCCACUUAUCUUUAAGCAUUUAACUUUAAGCAUAUGGAGUAUCUAAACUCCGCUCAGCUAAACAACUGAAGUGCUUAAAUUUAAAAAACAAAUGUAAAUCAUCUUGAAAGCAUUCACCCCGUUUGUAAUACCAAGCUUGCAUACAGAUCUGAGCCCCAACUCCUUACCCUGCUUACAUGCUGACUCACACUUGGGCUGGAUCCAGCCUAUUGGUUCUCAGACAGGCAAACCCAAGUACAAAACGUGAGGGGCUAACGUGCAUUCAGACUUCUCUCUCACAAGCUGGACUCGUGCAAGUAUCGUGACUUAGGUACGAGAUUAAUUGUUUGGUGAAGCAGAGUGCAAAUGAUUAAAUGCUUCGAGUUAAUUCGGGGGAGAGGGUCUCAGAAAGAAAACUAAAGAAAGUGCCCGAGGAAGAAAAAAGAAACUGAAAAUUAAAUCUGGAUUAAAAAUAAAUGACCUCUGGGUUAUAUCUCAGUGCACUCUGCCUGAAAACCACUGCUUCUUUUUGGCUUAAGUAUCAAAUCUCAUUUUUAAAUAUGCAAAAUGGUAACUAACUCAGACAAAGGUUAAAUUAGUUCAGUGUUUGCUGACAGUACCGCAGUAAUCCUUAACACAGAGCAUCACUCGGUUAUUGGUGUAAAGGGCUCGCCAUUUCUUCUGCCUUACAAACACACCCGCGCUUCCAGUCCUGCUUUGGUAAAGAGCAGGGUGAGGGUUAAUACCCAAUAUUCCAAUCUCUGUGGUAGCAGCCAUAAAGGGAGGAGGAAAUGUGGAGAUCGUAAGCUGCUAGUGGGGUUCUGUCCCUUUUACUCCUUACUCUACAGUGCAGUUGCUAAAGGAAAACAUAAAUUGAGCCACUGAAAUCAAAACAGUGAACCAACAAAGUUCAGGGACAUCUCUUGGCAUCCUGUGAACUUCUGGUCAUUGUGAUCUGCCUCCUAAACUGUGGAUCAUUGUAUACACCGUUAUUUUAAGCUGUCACCUCUCAAAACUACCAGGAAGCCAGUACCAGUGCUUAACAGCUACAUUCUCAUGUCCUCUCCCACUACUAAUAUCCCACCCUUCACCUACAGCUAUAAAAAAGGAAAUUCUCUCUAUUUAAAAUGCGUGCUUAAUAAUCCCAUACGUGUAAAAAUCAUGACUCCGUGUUGGUACGGAGCUAGAGCAAGGUUAAAGACCUGACUAAGGCAGUGAGUUACUGAUAGAAUUAGUUCCUCUCCAGAUUCAGUUCCCUUUUCACAAAAUGGUUAAACACAAUAACGUUUUGUUCCUUUUAUGAGAAUCAUGAGCAUUACUAACAUUUUAUAAACGUUUUGAAGCUCAGAUUUCAAAAUUUCCCAGAAACUGGGAAACUAGAGAAGCAAAUGAACAAUUUACAUCAUGCUGUCUUAAAAGAAAUGAAUUGAACAGCAUAAAAGCAAACAAAUUAGUGCUAGCUAAAGCAUUUCCAGACCUCUCACUCCUGUAUUAAUUUCAGUAGCAUUUCAUUUAAAUGCAGAAAUACAUAUUUGCAAAGUCUGAGUUUCAGCCUUUCCAACAAUUCCUCACAUCCGAGCUGUGCUGUGCUGACUGGUGGUGCUGAUAGAAAUCCUCCUGUGAACACAGCUGAGCACAUGCACAGGACUAAGGCUAAAUCAAGUAAUAAAAAAAUAGCUCAUAAAUUCAGUGUAUCGCUAACAAUUGUUUGGAAAAGUCCAGGAUGGAUAAGGAGAUGAUAAAGCUUGAGAAAGCAACGAGCAAAAUAGCGGGCGGGAAGGUGAGAAAUUAGGCUCUGGCCCCAGCAGUUACCCUACCAAAAACAAUCUAACUUUAAUACCAGUUAAAUAACAGAAUUGAUACAAAGGAAAGAAAAAAUAAUAGAGCAUCCCCUCAAUAAUUUAUAGCCCCAACAACCACACUUAUUUUCUCACCAUUUGACGAGUCCUCUUCAGUGUAAGGCCAAAGUUCGUGGGUGCUGUGGAGAAGAUCACUUGGCAACUGCUCUGCUGUAAUUAAUCCAUAAAGAAUGGGCUUCAGUUUUCACAGAUAACGAACCAGCACAUUUCACAACCACUAACAUGCAGAAGAAUUUUUACAAUGUUUAGAAGUUACAGCGAGGCCGUUUUAGCAAAACUUCACCACAGAACCUUAGUUUAAUAGCAAGUAUUUCCCGAGGCCUCAGGGAUAUGUUCAUGAUGGGUCAGGCCUAUGGCUGUAUUAGAGUCAAUACUGAAGGAAAGCGUAGUUAAGCCCAGCCUUUGGAUUGUACCAGCUGCCUUUAUGCUGUGUUAAACAUCUUAGACAUUGGGGGAAAAAAAAAAAAAUAGAUUGAAAGUUGGCUGUUGAAAAACCAGGUAGUCUACACCAAAAAUAGGCUAAAGGUUGUUUAUGGGUGGUUUGGGGUUUUUUUUUCCACUUAGUAUUUUGUAGGGAAUUUAAUAAAGCAGGUGUACAUCCUAAUCUAGCAAAUACUUCCUGCAGUCCUUGGUGCCAAGAGAAGGAUCCCUAGAUCAGCUCUCAGCUGGCAAAUUCAGAACUUAGUUUUCACUGCCACUGCAGUC